AGUGAACGCUGGCGGUAGGCCUAACACAUGCAAGUCGAACGGCAGCACAGUAAGAGCUUGCUCUUACGGGUGGCGAGUGGCGGACGUGUGAGGAAUACAUCGUAAUCUACUUUUUCGUGGGGGAUAACGUAGGGAAACUUACGCUCAUACCGCAUCCGACCUACGGGUGAAAGCAGGGGAUCUUCGGACCUUGCGCGAUUGAAUGAGCCGAUGUCGGAUUAGCUAGUUGGCGGGGUAAAGGCCCACCAAGGCGACGAUCCGUAGCUGGUCUGAGAGGAUGAUAGGCCACACUGGAACUGAGACACGGUCCAGACGACUACGGGAGGCAGCAGUGGGGAAUAUUGGACAAUGGGCGCAAGCCUGAUCCAGCCAUACCGCGUGGGUGAAGAAGGCCUUCGGGUUGUAAAGCCCUUUUGUUGGGAAAGAAAAGCAGCAGGUUAAGACCACGCUGUUCUGACGGUACCCAAAGAAUAAGCACCGGCUAACUUCGUG
rnacentral:rRNA from 1 species